GUGUUAUAACAUUAUUAUUAGAUUUAAUUGUAUACAGCUCCCUGUAAAUAUAUUAAAUAAUAGAUAUAUCCCUACAAAAUUUAACUUUUCAUAUUUAUCUCUAUAAAAAUCCUAAUAUUUUUAAAUAUAUCCCUACUAUUAAGAUCCGAUAGAAAAAUAUAGUUACUCAUAGAUAAAAUACUUCACUCUGAUUAGCGAACAAGGCAAAUUGAUCUUUUUACCCCUUUUAUAUUAUUUGUGAUGGUGGAAAGGAAGAAGACCACUGAAAUUUUUUGGGAGGUCAUUUUUGCAUAAUUCUAAUAAUUGGGGCUUUUGGAGGGACAUAUUUGUAAUAGUAAAAAUGUCAUUUUACUUAUCUUCUACUAAAAAAUAAACAGUGCCCUCACGGUAAUAAACCAGAGAGACAAAUAUGAAUAUUACUAGACUUUUGUAGGGAUAAAUAUGAAAAUUAAACUUUGUAGGAAUAUAUUUGUUAUUUGAUAUGUUUACGGGAAGCUGUAUGAAAUUAACCCUUACUAUUAUGCUUAAAAACCUACAUACUCUGUGGUUAUAUUUCUGCUCCUAUCUUUUCUUUUUUUACU
rnacentral:lncRNA from 1 species